CGACCCAUCCCUAUUUCAUUCGCUGGUCGCGUCGCCACCGCUCGCUCGCCCGCCUCCCCAUCCAAUUCCAAACGCAAAGAACCGAAUUCCAUUCCCCACUCGGGCUCCUCUGCCGUCCUCCUCCUCGCCUCGCCUUCCGGCAUUUGCUCCAGCUCUUAGACCAGCCGCGCAAUACGAGGCUGCCGAAGGGGAUGGAGUCGGACGCGUCCACCUCGCCGCGGCGGCGCAGCACGAGCUGCUACAGCGACAGCGGGGACUCCUCCUGCUCCGAGCCCUUCAGCGAGUGCGGCAGCGACGACCUCUCCUUCACGCCCGCCGCGGGCAUCCACCGCCUACUGCUCUCCUGCGCGUCCGAGGCGUCGGAGGACGCCAUCUCCUCGCUCGUGGCGGAGCUGGAGCGCCCGUCGCCGUCGCUGGACUCGCUCCGCCGCGCGGCGAUGGAGCUCCGGCUGCUGGCCAAGCACAACCCGGACAACCGGGUCCGCAUCGCGGCGGCGGGCGGCGUCCGGCCGCUCGUCAGGCUGCUGGCGCACGCGGACCCGCUGCUGCAGGAGCACGGCGUCACGGCGCUGCUCAACCUCUCCCUCUGCGACGAGAACAAGGCGGCCAUCAUCGAGGCGGGGGCGAUACGGCCGCUGGUGCGCGCGCUCAAGUCCGCCGCGUCGCCCGCCGCGCGGGAGAACGCGGCGUGCGCGCUGCUCCGGCUGUCCCAGCUCGACGGCGCCUCCGCGGCGGCCAUCGGCCGCGCGGGCGCCCUCCCGCUGCUGGUCUCCCUCCUCGAGACCGGCGGCGCGCGGGGGAAGAAGGACGCCGCCACGGCGCUGUACGCGCUCUGCAGCGGCGCGCGCGAGAACCGGCAGCGCGCCGUGGAGGCCGGGGCCGUGCGGCCCCUGCUGGACCUCAUGGCCGACCCGGAGUCCGGCAUGGUGGACAAGGCCGCGUACGUCCUCCACUCCCUCCUGGGCUCCGGGGACGGCCGAGCCGCCGCCGUGGAGGAAGGCGGCAUCCCCGUCCUGGUCGAGAUGGUGGAGGUCGGCACCUCGCGGCAGAAGGAGAUCGCCACGCUCUGCCUCCUGCAGAUCUGCGAGGACAACGCCGUCUACCGCACCAUGGUCGCUCGCGAGGGCGCCAUCCCGCCCCUCGUCGCCCUCUCCCAGUCCUCCUCCGCCCGCACCAAGCUCAAAACCAAGGCGGAGUCGCUGGUCGAGAUGCUGCGGCAGCCGCGGAGCCCGAGCCUCCGCGCGCGACCAGCGGCGGUGGUUGCGGCGGAGUGACGGCCUCCUUCCCAAUCAUCCCCCCCACUUGUCUUCUUCGGCGAGACGAGCCGGCGCCGGUCGUCCGGCCGGCCGGCGUGCGCGUGUAAAUACCAAGCACAGCGUGUUUGCGUCCGCCAGCGAGUGUACAGUUUCCUCAAGCGAGAUGUCGUCCGGACGAUCGAAGAAGUAUCUAGUCUCCUUGUAAUUUCUUCCACCCAAACCUUCCGUUUGCUCCCCUUCCGCCUCCACUUUCCACCCACUUUGGGUGUGUGUGUGUCUGCAGCGAAACUUCGAAAAAAAAGCUUCGAAUUCGCGUGUGCCCGCGUGGGCUGGGCUCUGUGCUUCUGCUAGUCGCAGGCUCGCAGCAGUGUGUACGUGCGCGCGCUACGUCAGGAAAUCAACUUGGUUUUCCGAUCUUGUGGUGGAGACCAGCAAGAAAAAGGCUACGUAUUCUC
rnacentral:misc_RNA from 1 species